GGGCGGGUAGCCUAGUGGUUAGAGGGGGCAGGUAGCCUAGUGGUUAGAGGGGGCGGGUAGCCUAGUGGUUAGAGGGGGCAGGUAGCCUAGUGGUUAGAGGGGGCAGGUAGCCUAGUGGUUAGAUGGGGCAGGUAGCCUAGUGGUUAGAGGGGGCAGGUAGCCUAGUGGUUAGAGCGUUGGACUAGUAACCGAAAGGUUGCUGGAUUGAAUCCCCGAGCUGACAAGGUAAAAGUUUGUUAUUCUGCCCCUGAACAAGGCAGUUAACCCACUGUUCCUAGGCCGUCAUUGUAAAUAAGAAUUUGUUCUUAACCGACUUGCCUAGUUAAAUAAAGGUUCAAUAAACAUUUUUUUUUAUAACUUGUGUCACUGUGACUCAUAAACACACCUUGACAUUCCUCUGCUGACAUCAUUAUUAAAGGAUGUUGACACUUGAAGAGCGAUGAGGUUAAUCUUUCACCACCACCACCACCCUCUUCAGUGUCGAGUCAUGAGAACAUGGUUUCACACUCCCUGACUGGCUGGAUUUCAACUUACUGAUGCUGUUACCACGGUGAUAGGACGGUUAGGAAGUCAGUAUAACAGGAAAACACACCAACCCAAAAAAAUGGUUGUCACUAG
ensembl:lncRNA